rnacentral:rRNA from 1 species
AUGAAAGUAGGCUGGCCAUGGUUGAGGGUGGCGGCCAGUCCUCUCACUCCUCUGCCAACGCCGUCUCCCAUGGAGGGCGUGGCGGACCCAACCAUGGCGGAGGCCGUGGUGGCAACGGUGGUCGCUAUGGAGCCGACCGAGGCAACGGGGGCGAUGGCCGUGGCCAAGGUCGUGGCGGUGUCCGCGAGAACGGAGGAACAAACAGCUGAUCCUUCAGUUAAUCUUCAUAAAAAUCCUGCUGUCAAUUUUGGUGGAAAUCCCGUUGUAUAUCAUGAUUUUAUGCAGCAGACACGCGCGGAACACAAUGCAGAUUCAGGUGUUGUAGCUGAUCUUGACAGCAGCGAUCCCGGGGAUGAUUCCCCCUCGUCUGACGCGCCAGCCAGCACUGGCGGCACAGUAUCCGCCUCGGGAGGAGCCGAGCCAUCCGCGACGUCCCACGCGUCCAGCCGCGGGCCCGCAAGGAGGGGCCUAGAAGUGCACUCCUCGCUCGAUGGACCCAGAGCGAGUCACGCGCCUCUCUCGAGCCGCCAAGUGGCGUGGUCUCCUUUAGGCGGUCGGGCUGACCAGCCAGGCACGUCACGGGCGGGGAGCAAGAUCCGCCUCGCUCCUCGUGUCGGCCAAUCAGGCGCGCAACAUGACGCGUCAACAUCCGCGUUGGAUCCGGUGCAUCUGGAUCGGCUGCUCCUGUGCCUGCAUCGAGCAUGGAUGGAUCUUCUGUGGCGGAGGACUCUGCAGUUAUUUCUGCACCCACACAGAGAACAAGGUCACAACAUGGUACAGAUGGUACGGUCAGUAUCAAACAAUUGGAGUCUUCAUCAAUUCGAUUUGCAGAAUGCGUUCCUUCAUGGCGUUCUAGAGGAGGAAGCAUAUAUGAAGUAA